UUAACCACAUUCUCUGGAAUUGUUAACACCUGUCCACGGACAAGGGUACUUUUUAGAUUUUUCACCAGAUGUGGGACAUCAGGCAUGAAAUGGAGACACCUAUCUGGUGUUGUUGGAUGCGGCACAGAUGUUUUGGUGUGGUCGAACCCCAAAGGAUUUCCACAUGGCCUGGUUAGGGCUACCCAUAUCGGUGGUGACAGCAAGCACAUGUAGCCCUAUGGAUGCUGCCCUCUCUAUUCAUUCUGUAAUUAUUGGCUUGUAUUCUGCUCCGUUGGUAGAAUUGCCACUGUAAUGAUAUGCCACUACUUGUUUCCAGCGAGUUGUGUUUCCAGCCAACAAAAACACACAAGCAUGUGUUGCUACUCCUGUGUGACCUGGCAAAGUGACAUCACCAUAGAGUUUGACUGUCAGCAUGUGCAGCUCCACACUUGGAGUGAUUGCCAUUUCAUCCAAGGACAGCACACACUCCCUUUCAAGGGUUCUGAUCGCUGGCAAGGGAAUCUGCAAUUCCUGUAGGGUCUUGUAACCAGUUGGACCGGCUGCAAAGCAAAUUUUUAAUGCCUUCUUAAUUGUUUCAUUGCUCCAUUUCAUACCUUUUGUGACCCAGGUAACUGGCUGAUGGUUCACUGGAAUGCUGACUGGCUGCUGACUGACUUGCUGCAUGCUGACUGGGUAGAGUCACCUGUCCCUGUCUCUCCUCUCUAGCCAUGUCCUCUAUUUCUUCACUGUCGCUUUCCCUUCUCUGAGUGUCCUCAUUCUUUUUUUCCUCAACCUUUGAAACUGAUAGAGGCAGAAUAUAUUGUAUCGCUAAUUUUAAAUAUUGAAAAUAUCACAUCACUUCAAAAUUUGAAAUAUUACUUCAACUAGUACGAGUUUGUACUUAUUAUAUAUAUCACCUGUAAUACUAUAGCUGUGAUCAGCAGUGAUUUGCUGUAUGUCUACAGGUCUAAGGGUGCAUCGUGGAGCAGGGGCCCUCCUCUUUUUGACCACAGGACGAUGCACAAAGAUUGUGGGAAUAGCAUCUGGUCUCAGCCUACUCUUGAAUUUUUUGGUCAUGACAAAUUGGUUUGCCUCAAAAUGUGCCUGCAGAGUAACUUGAGUUUAGUUUCCACACAAAACUUUUUUUUUUUUUUGUCUACCCACAUACUGUACAUAUCACAUGGUGGUUAAAUGCACAGUUAUAGGUAACACUAAUGACUCCCUCCAAUGUCUCACCAUGAGU